CAAAAGAUAAGUAAAAGAGAGAAACGAAAGAAUGAAACCAUCAUAUCUUUGUCAAUCAAUCUUUUUGACUUACUCU
rnacentral:ribozyme from 1 species